AGUGAACGCUGGCGGUAGGCCUAACACAUGCAAGUCGAACGGCAGCACAGGAGAGCUUGCUCUCUAGGUGGCGAGUGGCGGCCGGGUGAGGAAUACAUCGGAAUCUGCCCAGUCGUGGGGGAUAACGUAGGGAAACUUACGCUAAUACCGCAUACGACCUUCGGGUGAAAGAGGGGGAUCGCAAGACCUCUCGCGAUUGGAUGAGCCGAUGUCGGAUUAGCUAGUUAGCGGUGUAAUGGCCCACCAAGGCGACGAUCCGUAGCUGGUCUGAGAGGAUGAUCAGCCACACUGGAACUGAGACACGGUCCAGACUCCUACGGGAGGCAGCAGUGGGGAAUAUUGGACAAAGGGCGCAAGCCUGAUCCAGCCAUACCGCGUGGGUGAAGAAGGCCUUCGGGUUGUAAAGCCCUUUUGUUGGGAAAGAAAUCUUUCAGGCUAAUACCCUGGGAGGAUGACGGUACCCAAAGAAUAAGCACCGGCUAACUUCGUG
rnacentral:rRNA from 1 species